AAACAGAGGGGUAACUACAAAAAUAAACAGUCAUGAGAGACAAACGUAACCAAAAGAGGGAACCGGAUGAAACGGGGAACUCGGAAGAAUGAGAAGGUAGAGGAAGUCUCGGGGGAACGAGAGCAUGAGACACAUAGGGUAAGGACUCCAUGAUGACAACAGAGAAAGACAGCUCUAUAUAGGGAAACUAAUGACAGAGUAUUGUCAACACCUGUGCGAUUCUAAUUGGAGUGCAAUUACUGUGAAGACACAACCAGACUAGCGGAAUUAAAGUGCCUAUGGUGAAGUGCCUAAGGGGAAGUGAGCUCACUAGGGAACACCCAGGAAAACGAAGACUGGCAGCGUGACACUGACAGGCUGGAAUCAACUCGAGCAAUGUUCACUGACAUUUGGAGAGAGUAUCUCUGCAAGCAAUCACCAGUCCACUCAGCCAGCUGUCAAGGUGAGACAGUUUAACACGUUGAAGCUCCAAUGCCCUUGUCCAAUUUCCCUUUGCAGUGAAUGGGCUGAACACGCCAAUCCUCAUAUUACCAAACAAAUUAAAUCAGUGAACUGGGAGGAGACGCGGAGGGAGAUCCUGUCAGACGCACAAGAGCCGCUCCUCCCAGCCAGCCAGGAGAUCAGGGCACUCUGAGAGGAGCUUGGUUAAUUGGUUUAAGACGUGAAGUGUUUCUGACAAGCAUCUGAAGACAGAGGAACGGCAGAGAAUGAUCUCAGGGGGAGCGCUGGGUAAGUUCAGAUAUCUUUCAAGAGGGCUCCUCCAAAUAGGCUGGAGCCUGAGGGCAUCACAGGACCUUAUCCCAGCCUCGAUCAGCUUAACUGUACCAGCACGUGGCGCUCCUUCAAAUGACUUUUACCUGAGGGGAGGUCAUCGAGGAAGAUUUUCUUCUCUCCAUCACUGUGCUGGCAGAAGAAACGCUGGUUUGUUUGUCCUGCAUAUGUCUGCCAAUCACAGCUCUCCCUGAGGGGCUCCAUCAAUAAGUUUACCCACAUCCUCCUGCUAUCAGUCUAGACAUCAACGGGCAAUGCGGCAGGAGGCGGGGCUUCUGAGCCACAGCAAGGACCUGACACAUCUCUCACAUUCAGCUCUUUCAUGUUCAGACUGUGCAGUUGUACAUCAGCCCCCAGGACGGUUUGGUGGCAAAGGAGCUCAAAAGGAGGACAAAGGUGGGAGCGUAUGGUCCCGGACUGAUGCUAGAAAGGGGCUGGAGUGAGAUCAGAGAAAGGAGGUAAGCACCUGUGCUGUGCAAGCGUACAGGGUGAAGCAAUGGCUUAUGGGAUUGAAGCCAGCGCUGACAGCAUGUGUAACUCAGAGAAGACAUACGGGCUGUAAUAAAAAAGGAAAAGAAGACCUGA